rnacentral:rRNA from 1 species
UACGUAGGGGGCAAGCGUUGUCCGGAAUUAUUGGGCGUAAAGAGCGCGUAGGCGGUCCGGUAAGUCGGUUGUGAAAGUCGGGGGCUCAACCCUCGGAUGCCGAUCGAUACUGUCGGGCUAGAGUCCGGAAGAGGCGAGUGGAAUUCCUGGUGUAGCAGUGAAAUGCGUAGAUAUCAAGUGGAACACCAGUGGCGAAGGCGAGUCCCUGGACGACUCCUGACACUGAGGCACGAAAGCUAGGGGAGCAAACAGG